AUUUAUUCGUCGUAAGAUAAUAUGUUAUAUAUUAUAAAAAAAAAAAAAAAAAAAAAAGAAAGAAAAAAAGAAAGAAGAAAUUGUACGUGGCGCCUAAUUAAUUAUUCAAUUUUUUUAUUUCUAAGUAUAUUUUCUUGCAGAUCAUGCAAACAUCGACAACAUGACAUCACUUGGUCAAAGUUCGAGGACCAAUAAUUUCAGCUGUAACACUUAAAGCCGUUACCAUGGUAAUCGAACUGCCUGCACCAAUAAGAAUGGCAAUUGUGUAUGUAACGAUUCCAUAACUCCCGCCAAAUUCUGUAAUGGCUGCCGAAAGAAUACCAAUGAGGGCUCCGCAAAGCUAUGAAGGAUGAUAAAUAAGAUACCAAUGGUACCGUGGCCAAUGCUUGUUUACCACCAACUGCUGUCUCCUCGAUAUAAAGUGUCGUCGUGUUGAUCGAGUAGCACCAUCGAUUCUCCAUUUGUUGGAAGGACAAUCCAUGUGACCACGAAAACAACUACCGCUGAGCUCACCUGUGCUGAAUAUCUAUAAUAUAAAAACGACUUAUGACUGUUAAUUCGGUACGACCGAGUAACGAGUUUGUUAAAGAUGGUAUCAUAGAUAAAUGCGAUAUCUGUACGGCUGCCCAACCAAUCUGGAAGAUUAUGAUGCUCAGUAUAUAAAAGAACAUGAUGAUAGAAUUGGAG